rnacentral:piRNA from 1 species
AGCAAGGUGCUCACCUCCUGGGUA